rnacentral:tRNA from 1 species
GCAGGUAUAGCUCAGUGGUAGAGUGCAUGCUUAAUUUUUUUUCACAAGCAUGAGAUCCUGGGUUCAAUCCUCAGUACUUCCA